rnacentral:rRNA from 1 species
GGGCUGCAGUAUUUUGACUGUACAAAGGUAGCAUAAUCAUUAGUCUCUUAAUUGGUGACUUGUAUGAAAGAUUGGAUGAGAUAUAAACUGUCUCUAAUUGAUUUAUAAAAUUUAAUUUUUUAAUAAAAAAGUUAAAAUAAUUUUAAAAGACGAGAAGACCCUAUAGAGUUUUAUAAUUUAUUUAAUUAUUAUUAAUAUGUAAAUUUUAAUUUAAAAAUUAAAUAAAUUAUUUUAUUGGGGUGAUUGAAAAAUUUGAAGAACUUUUUUUAAAAAUAAACAUUAAUUUAUGAAUAAAGGAUCCAUUAUUAGUGAUUGAAAGAAUAAAUUACCUUAGGGAUAACAGCGUAAUUUUUUUUUUUAGUUCAAAUAGGAAAAAGAGUUUGCGACCUCGAUGUUGGAUUAA